AAAAAAUGAAUUCUUGGGGUUCUUUGAUAUGCUGAAUCUAAACAUGUACUUAGAUUUAUGAUUAUGGGCCCAGUUUUCAAGUUGGUCCAAAUCAGGGUCCAAAAUUAAACUUUGUUUGAUUUCAUCAAAAUUGAAAAUAUUGGGUUCUUCAAUAUGCUGAAUCUUACCAUGUAUUUAGAUUUUUAAUAUGUGGGCCCUGUUAUUGAAUUGGUCCACAUUGAGGUCUAAAGGGUCUACAAUUGAACAUUAUUUGAUUUCAUCAAAAAUUGAAUUCUUGGGGUUCUAUGAUAUACUGAAAAUAACCAUGUAUUUAGAUUUUGGAUAUUGGACCAUAAUAGGUAAAUAUCCAAUUUAAAAUGUUUAGGUUUUUGUCGAGCCUGCAACUUUUGUUGCAGAAAGCUCGACAUAGGGAUAGUGAUCCAGCGGCGGCGG
rnacentral:lncRNA from 1 species